rnacentral:rRNA from 1 species
AUUGAACGCUGGCGGCAGGCUUAACACAUGCAAGUCGAGCGGAGCGAGGGUGCUUGCACCUUAGCUUAGCGGCGGACGGGUGAGUAAUGCUUAGGAAUCUGCCUAUUAGUGGGGGACAACAUUCCGAAAGGAAUGCUAAUACCGCAUACGCCCUACGGGGGAAAGCAGGGGAUCUUCGGACCUUGCGCUAAUAGAUGAGCCUAAGUCGGAUUCGCUAGUUGGUGGGGUAAAGGCCUACCAAGGCGACGAUCUGUAGCGGGUCUGAGAGGAUGCUCCGCCACACGGUGACGAAGACACGGCCCAGACUCCUGCGAGAGGGAGCAGUGGGGAAUAUUGGACGAUGGGCGGAAGCCUGAUCCAGCCAUGCCGCGGGUGUGAAGAAGGCCUUUUGGUUGUAAAGCACUUUAAGCGAGGAGGAGGCUCUUAAGGUUAAUACCCUUGAUGAGUGGACGUUACUCGCAGAAUAAGCACCGGCUAACUCUGUGCCAGCAGCCGCCGUAAAAC